GGGGGGAUGGCUCAGUGGUAGAGCACAUGCUUGGUGUGCACAAGGUCCUGGGUUCAAUCACUAGUGCCUCUG
rnacentral:tRNA from 1 species